GCAAGUAUCCGCGCUCCAGUGCGUAUGCCCUGGGCACCCUGAUUUCAGGUCAAUAGGAGCGGGCAUCAGGCACACCAUUACCGUAGCCCAAGACGCCUAGCAAUUGCCACACCCCCACGGGUAAUCAGCAGUAGUUAAUAUUAAGCCAUGAGUGUAAACUUGACUUAGUCAUAGCAAAUCAGGGUCGGUAAAUCCUGUGCCAGCCACCGCGGUCAAACAGGAGACCCAAAUUAACAGUGUCAACGGCGUAAAGUGUGGUCACAUGCUAUCCAAGUAACUAAGAUUAAAAAGCAACUGAGCUGUCAUAAGCCCAAGAUGCUCAUAAGGCCGCUAUUCAAAGAAAAUCUUAGACUAACGAUUGAUUGAAAUCCACGAAAGCCAGGGCCCAAACUGGGAUUAGAUACCCCACUAUGCCUGGCCCUAAAUCUUGAUGCUCGAUCUUACCGGAGCAUCCGCCCGAGAACUACGAGCGCAAACGCUUAAAACUCUAAGGACUUGGCGGUGUCCCAAACCCACCUAGAGGAGCCUGUUCUAUAACCGAUGAUCCACGAUACACCUUACCAUUCCUUGCCCAAAUCAGCCUAUAUACCGCCGUCGCCAGCCCACCCAGCCUGAAGGACCAACAGUGGACGCAAUAGCCCUACCACGCUAAUACGACAGGUCAAGGUAUAGCCUAUGGAAUGGGAGUAAUGGGCUACAUUUUCUAGAAUAGAACAUCACGGCAUAGGGAUGUGAAACCAUCCUUUGAAGGCGGAUUUAGCAGUAAAGAGAGACAAUCGAGCCCUCUUUAAGACGGCCCUGGGGCACGUACAUACCGCCCGUCACCCUCCUCAAAGGCGA
rnacentral:rRNA from 1 species